rnacentral:rRNA from 1 species
GGGGGCACAAACCAGGGGGUGGCGACUGUUUACUAAAAACACAGGGCUCUGCGAAGUCGUAAGAGACGUAUAGGGUCUGACGCCUGCCCGGUGCCUGAAGGUUAAAAGGAGGGGUGAGAGCUCUGAAUUGAAGCCAGGUAAACGGCGGCCGUAACUAUAACGGUCCUAAGGUAGCGAAAUUCCUUGUCGGGUAAGUUCCGACCUGCACGAAUGGCGUAACGACUUCCCCGCUGUCUCCAACAUAGACUCAGCGAAAUUGAAUUGCCUGUCAAGAUGCAGGUUCCCGCGGUUAGACGGAAAGACCCCGUGCACCUUCACUACAGCUUCGCACUGGCAUCAGGCACAAUAUGUGCAGGAUAGGUGGUGGGCUUUGAAGCGCGAACGCCAGUUUGCGUGGAGCCUCCCUUGAGAUACCACCCUUAUCUGCUUGAUGUCUAACCGCGGUCCGUUAUCCGGAUCCGGGACCCUGUGUGGCGGGUAGUUUGACUGGGGCGGUCGCCUCCUAAAGCGUAACGGAGGCGCGCGAAGGUUGGCUCAGAGCGGUCGGAAAUCGCUCGUUGAGUGCAAUGGCAGAAGCCAGCCUGACUGCAAGACUGACAAGUCGAGCAGAGACGAAAGUCGGCCAUAGUGAUCCGGUGGUCCCGAGUGGAGGGCCAUCGCUCAACGGAUAAAAGGUACGCCGGGGAUAACAGGCUGAUACUGCCCAAGAGUCCAUAUCGACGGCAGUGUUUGGCACCUCGAUGUCGGCUCAUCUCAUCCUGGGGCUGGAGCAGGUCCCAAGGGUAUGGCUGUUCGCCAUUUAAAGAGGUACGUGAGCUGGGUUUAGAACGUCGUGAGACAGUUCGGUCCCUAUCUGCCGUGGGUGUAGGAGAUUUGAGAAGAGUUGCCCCUAGUACGAGAGGACCGGGGUGAACGAUCCACUGGUGGACCAGUUGUUAUGCCAAUAGCAGUGCUGGGUAGCUAUGAUCGGACAGGAUAACCGCUGAAGGCAUCUAAGCGGGAAGCCCCCUUCAAAACAAGGUAUCCCUGAGG